AUUGAACGCUGGCGGCAGGCCUAACACAUGCAAGUCGAGCGGAUGAAGGAAGAUUGCUCCUGGCUUCAGCGGCGGACGGGCGAGUAAUGCCUAGGAAUCUGCCUGGUCGUGGGGGCUAACGUCCGGAAACGGGAGCUAAUACCGCAUACGUCCUGAGGGAGAAAGGGGGGGAUCUUCGGACCUCACGCUAUCAGAUGAGCCUAGGUUGGAUUAGCUAGUUGGUGGGGUAAAUGCCUACCAAGGCGACGAUCCGGAACCGGUGUGCAAGGGUGAUCCGGCAAACUGGAACUUAGAAAAGGGUCCGACUCCUAAGGGAGGCAGCAGUAGGGAAAUUUUGGAAAUGGGGGAAAGCCUUAAGCAGCAAAGCCGCGUGGGGGAAGAAGGUCUUCGGAUUGUAAAAGUCUUUUAGUUGGGAGGAAGGUCAGUAAGUGAAUACCUUGCUGUUUUGACGUUACCAACAGAAUAAGCACCGGCUAACUUCGUG
rnacentral:rRNA from 1 species